UCUCCAAUCGCAAUAACGUAAAGUAUUAUUACCCGCGAACCAAUGAGUCAAAUUUAAGAAACAACCCACUGUUAGAAAGCUGAAUGGCUACGCUUUAAAAUGAAUGUAAACUUUAAAGUUUUCGUCUAUUAUUUGUUUAGCAAUUUACAUUUUAGUCGAGGAUUGCGCUUUUUUUGAUACACCCUGUAUAUGCACCCAGAAAUGUGUGUCUAUGACAAGAAAAUACAAGCUUUUUUCAACUGUAAACCUCUGAAUAUAAUGCUCACCUCAUUCCAAAUAUAACCCCCCCCCCCAAAUAUAAGCCCCCCCCUGAAUAUAAGCCCCCUGAAUAUAAGCCCGGUAUCCCACUAUGUUAUUUAACAUUGACAUUGUCUUUAAAUAUAGCAGAGAACGAUAUUUGAAACACUGUCAUUGUCUUUAUAGCUUACUAUGUUAAUGGGAAGUGUGUUAUUAAUACAUGUUUAUUUUCCGGUUUAUGAGUGACUGACUUGUUUAUUACUAACACAAUUGAUUGUCCAUGUAUAAGGCCCCCAUGCAUAUAAGCCCCCCCCCUCCCCCAAGCCCAUGAAAAAUCGCUUCAAAACAAUGUAAGCCCAGGGCUUAUAGUCCGAGGUUUACGGUAUUAUAUAUCAUAUUUUAACAAUAAACACAUUAUUUUUUAUAUUAUAUUACAACCACAUAUAAAGUCUUCAAAUGACAGUACAUUGUGUUUGUAAUUAUAAUUACUAUAAUUACUUGUGUCAAAAGUAAGAAAUGAAGUGAACAAAUCCAUAUAUAUUUGUUGAAAAAUUCUUGCAGUGGGUAUCUUCCUUUUGCUUUUCAUGCUUCACACUGUGUAUCUUUGAACAUUUAAUCAGCAACUAAUUAUAGGCAAGAAUAUAUUCACUAGCUCAUUUCUCCAUAUUACCAGGUACAUAACAUGCAAUAUAUCAACCUUGCAAUCCAUGCUUUAACCCAUGCAGUUGCCCCCUCUCCUGGAGCUUGUUUGGGAAGGGAGAGGAAGGAAUGGAGAUACUGUAAUUUCUAUAUUCAGCUCUUUUCUCUUCAAGCUCCUCCAAUAACCCCCCCCCCCCCAUUUG